UACGUAGGGUGCGAGCGUUAAUCGGAAUUACUGGGCGUAAAGCGUGCGCAGGCGGUUCGUUAAGUCAGCUGUGAAAGCCCCGGGCUUAACCUGGGAAUGGCGGUUGAAACUGGCGAACUUGAAUCUGGCAGAGGGGGGGUGGAAUUCCACGUGUAGCAGUGAAAUGCGUAGAGAUGUGGAGGAACACCGAUGGCGAAGGCAGCCUUCUGGGCCAACACUGACGCUCAUGCACGAAAGCGUGGGGAGCAAACAGG
rnacentral:rRNA from 1 species